GAUGAACGCUGGCGGCGUGCCUAAUACAUGCAAGUCGAGCGAACAGAUGAGGAGCUUGCUCCUCUGACGUUAGCGGCGGACGGGUGAGUAACACGUGGAUAACCUACCUAUAAGACUGGGAUAACUUCGGGAAACCGGAGCUAAUACCGGAUAAUAUAUUGAACCGCAUGGUUCAAUAGUGAAAGACGGUUUUGCUGUCACUUAUAGAUGAUCCGCGCCGCAUUAGCUAGUUGGUAAGGUAACGGCUUACCAAGGCAACGAUGCGUAGCCGACCUGAGAGGGUGAUCGGCCACACUGGAACUGAGACACGGUCCAGACUCCUACGGGAGGCAGCAGUAGGGAAUCUUCCGCAAAGGGCGAAAGCCUGACGGAGCAACGCCGCGUGAGUGAUGAAGGUCUUCGGAUCGUAAAACUCUGUUAUUAGGGAAGAACAAAUGUGUAAGUAACUAUGCACGUCUUGACGGUACCUAACCAGAAAGCCACGGCUAACUACGUG
rnacentral:rRNA from 1 species